GGUAAACAUAAUGCAAUCAUC
rnacentral:miRNA from 1 species